CACUACCAACGUUCUGGCGCCGUACACAGCUUACUGGUGCAUAUUUAACGCAAUUAAUAAAUUACUUUAGCCAUGAAACUACAGACGAAAUAAUUCGCAUUACUGAAUCACUAGACAACUAAUCCAACACAUAUAUUACUGAAAAAGUAUUUCAAUUAUUGUAAGUAAUCCAACUGCUGUCAUGUAUGCUGAUAUGCUGAAAUUAAUGACAUCCAUGCCUUGCACUCUUUCAGGUACUAGCAGAGCUCCUUGAGAACCUAGCCCCUGAUGAACCUGUUCCACUACCAUCACCAAUCGAAGAGUUUGAAGCAGCCAUUGUGCCACAGGCAGCUGGUGUUGAACAGAAUUGCCCCGAAACUGCAGACAAGAGCCUUCAAGUUCUGAUACAACCAGUAACAUCUUGCACGGCGACACAAGCAGACAUGAAAAAAAAGUGCAGCUUCAUCUCAUGUGGGACGCAGACAAAGCUUCGGGGUGUUUAAGUUGGUGUCCAGUUUGGCAACUUCAUGGUAGAUGUUGCUACUCAGCUGAUGAAUGUGGCAGAGCCAUGUUAUGAGAGUGACAGCUUAAGUGACAAUGAACCUGCUUCUGAUUUCGACGACGAUUACAGUCCUGACAAUUUUGACAGUCCUCAUUUAUUUAUAUCUGCAAAAUUCCUCUAAUUUGAGACAUCUCUUCCAGGUACUAUCUGUAAUCAGACAGUAAAGACGAAAUAUCAAGCAA
rnacentral:lncRNA from 1 species